rnacentral:ncRNA from 1 species
AAACUCUGGAGAAUCCCGUGUUGGAACGGGUGCCGAAGGUGCAAGGCCAUGCAGGCCGAAUCUCUCAGGCAAAAGGACAGAGCAU